AUCCAGCUGACGGGUCCCAACCAUGACGAAACGUGUGUCCUGGAU
rfam:Schistosoma haematobium scaffold803_18, whole genome shotgun sequence.